GACGAACGCUGGCGGCGUGCUUAACACAUGCAAGUCGAGCGGAGCGGCGAACGGGUGAGUAACGCGUGAGUAACUGCCCCCCUCUCUGGGAUAACAGUUGGAAACGGCUGCUAAUACCGGCUAGUGGGGGAUGACUCGGGUCCUAUCAGCUUGUUGGUGGGGUAGUGGCCUACCAAGGCGACGACGGGUAGCCGGCCUGAGAGGGCGACCGGCCACAUUGGGCUGAGAGACGGCCCAAACUACUACGGGAGGCAGGAGUGGAGAAUAUUGCACAAUGGGGGAAACCCUGAUGCAGCAACGCGAGUGAAGGAAGACGGUCUUCGGAUUGUAAACGUCUUUAGACAGGGACGCGGUACCUGUAGAAUAAGCCACGGCUAACUACGUGCCAGCAGCCGCGGUAAUUC
rnacentral:rRNA from 1 species